rnacentral:rRNA from 1 species
CAGUAGCCACGGGAACACGAAGGGUGCAUGCGCUACUCGGAAUUACUGGGCGUAAAGCGUGCGUAGGUGGUGGUUUAAGUCCGUUGUGAAAGCCCUGGGCUCAACCUGGGAAUUGCAGUGGAUACUGGAUCACUAGAGUGUGGUAGAGGAUAGUGGAAUUUCCGGUGUAGCAGUGAAAUGCGUAGAGAUCGGAAGGAACAUCUGUGGCGAAGGCGACUAUCUGGGCCAACACUGACACUGAGGCACGAAAGCGUGGGGGGCAAACAGGAUUAGAUACCCCCGUAGUCCCUGUCUCUUAUAC